UGCAAAGGAGACAAGGUCCCCGAGCUCUUCGCCCGGCACGGUCGUGUUGUUUGGCUGGCCUGGGAGAGAGAUGAUGUUUAUUCAUGAGGUAUCUAUCUUCGCGAGCCCGCCUUCCCCCGUGCGAGGUCUCCUGGCGCGAUAUCUUUACACUCAGCUGGCCUUUCCUCCCUCCACAACCCUCCACUCCCGCCUUCUCUCUCUCUCCCCCUCCUGACAGUUACGCCAGUUUGUUCUCCCGCUCUGCUUGCUGUUAUUUAGCUAAAUAUUUUCCUGGCUUUUGCGCAAGGUGCUAAAAUAAAACUUAAAUCACAAUGUCUCUCUCUCUGUGUGCAUGCUAGUGUGUGUUUGUGUGUGUAGUGAGUGUAUGUUUGUGUGUGUUGGCGCACGUGCAUUGAGUGUCCGAGAGCAAGAGAUUUGAAAUUGAGUUGUGGAUGUACGGCCUUAUUACAACCAAAGAGACGACAUUGAUGAGUAGCGAUACAAACCGGAACUAAAAAAAAAAAAACCAAAACAACUACGAACAAGAAAAAUCAACAAUAAAACGCUUUGAAGGCCCGGUGCCUGCCAGGCGAUGGAGUGCUCUGUCAUCUGGUCAUGUUGUUGACGCAGUCGCCAGGUGUUGACAGGAUGUGGGGCGAGACACCUGUACAGUCUACGUCUGCAGUCGGGGACCGAUGACUGAGCUCGCAUCCUGACAUGUGUGUGUCUUCAAUUCGUCAACGCAGGGCAGAUGACACUAACGCAUGUGCCAACGACAGACGAAGAGCUGAGAAUGUCUGCCAGUCUCCACACAAGCUCUGAAUGUGUUCCGUCCUGUCUUCACUCAAGUCUUCGACGGCAGAGAGAAACAUUCUGGAGAUGGUUUGCGCUUCUCGUUUCCUUUCGAACAAGAUUCCUUCUCCAGUGUAAAUAAUCAUUGUGACACUUAAAAUGCUUUGAACUCUUAACUAGGAUGUACUAAG